GACGAACGCUGGCGGCGUGCUUAACACAUGCAAGUCGAACGGUGAUGCUCCAGCUUGCUGGAGUGGAUCAGUGGCGAACGGGUGAGUAACACGUGAGCAACCUGCCCCAGACUCUGGAAUAAGCGCUGGAAACGGCGUCUAAUACUGGAUACGAAACUGGCCCGCAUGGGCAUGGUUUGGAAAGUUUUUCGGUUUGGGAUGGGCUCGCGGCCUAUCAGCUUGUUGGUGAGGUAAUGGCUCACCAAGGCGACGACGGGUAGCCGGCCUGAGAGGGCGACCGGCCACACUGGGACUGAGACACGGCCCAGACUCCUACGGGAGGCAGCAGUGGGGAAUAUUGCACAAUGGGCGAAAGCCUGAUGCAGCGACGCCGCGUGAGGGAUGACAGCCUUCGGGUUGUAAACCUCUUUCAGCAGGGAAGAAGCGAAAGUGACGGUACCUGCAGAAGAAGCACCGGCUAACUACGUG
rnacentral:rRNA from 1 species